CCAGCGAGCUUGGCAGAGAUGCCUUGGUGCCUUCGGGAACGCUGAGACAGGUGCUGCAUGGCUGUCGUCAGCUCGUGUUGUGAAAUGUUGGGUUAAGUCCCGNAACGAGCGCAACCCUUAUCCUUUGUUGCCAGCGAUUCGGUCGGGAACUCAAAGGAGACUGCCGGUGAUAAACCGGAGGAAGGUGGGGAUGACGUCAAGUCAUCAUGGCCCUUACGAGUAGGGCUACACACGUGCUACAAUGGCGCAUACAAAGAGAAGCGACCUCGCGAGAGCAAGCGGACCUCAUAAAGUGCGUCGUAGUCCGGAUCGGAGUCUGCAACUCGACUCCGUGAAGUCGGAAUCGCUAGUAAUCGUGGAUCAGAAUGCCACGGUGAAUACGUUCCCGGGCCUUGUACACACCGCCCGUCACACCAUGGGAGUGGGUUGCAAAAGAAGUAGGUAGCUUAACCCUCGGGAGGGCGCUUACCACUUUGUGAUUCAUGACUGGGGUGAAGUCGUAACAAGGUAGGCGUAGCGAG
rnacentral:rRNA from 1 species